AAAUAGAUACCCAGGUAGUCCACGCCGUAAACGUUGGAUACUAGGUGUGGCGGUCUACCAACGACUGCCGUGCCGAAGCUAACGCAUUAAGUAUCCCGCCUGGGGAGUACGGCCGCAAGGCUAAAACUCAAAGGAAUUGACGGGUCCCCGCACAAGCGGCGGAGCAUGCGGCUUAAUUCGAUGCAACCCGAAGAACCUUACCUGGGUUUGACAUCAUGGGAAAAGCCGUAGAAAUACGGUGUCCGAAAGGGCCCAUGACAGGUGGUGCAUGGCUGUCGUCAGCUCGUGUCGUGAGAUGUUGGGUUAAGUCCCGCAACGAGCGCAACCCUUGUCCUAUGCUGCCAGCGGUUCGGCCGGGGACUCAUAGGAGACUGCCGGGGAUAACUCGGAGGAAGGUGAGGACGACGUCAAGUCAUCAUGCCCCUUAUAUCCAGGGCUGCACGCAUGCUACAAUGGCCGGUACAACGGGAAGCGACCCCGCGAGGGUGAGCGAAUCCCUUAAAGCCGGUCCCAGUUCGGAUUGAAGUCUGCAACUCGACUUCA
rnacentral:rRNA from 1 species